UUUUUCUUCAGCCUUUCAGAACUUUAUUAGGUGGCGUUUGGGCAAAAGAGAAAACCCCUGAAACAGCCGCUCAGCUGUUCGGACGACUGGAAGAGAGAAGCAGCCUUUGUUGGCUGACGUUCUCUCACUGAGGAGAACCUACAGGAGAGAUCAUCCUCAUCUGGUGAGCACCUUGGGGUUUCCAAGCACGAGUGCUCUGGCCUACCAGAGUUCCACAUCUUCAGAAACCACCAAAAAGGCUCUUGCACAUAGUUUCCCCUGCUUCCUCUGACUCCUGGCCAAGCCUGGUGCUUCCAGGAGUCGCCUUGCAUGGAGUGGCACUGCAUGGAGUGGCAUGCCUCCUGUUUCCAGGGAUCUCUCUGUGGCUCGGGACAGCCAUGGCUCUGCAACAGCUGGGGCACCAGCUGGAAGACUCGAAGGCUUGGAGUGACUCAGUGCUGGGACUGGGUCAUCUGGAGGCUUUGCCACUCCUGUGUCUCACUGACAAUGCUGUUGUCAUCUUGGGAUCUAGCUGAGACUGUUGGCUAGAACACCCACCCCAUGUGGCAUGGGCUUCCUCACAGCAUGGUGCCUAGAUUCCUAGGGUGAGGGUCCCAAGACAGACAGACAAAGACAGAGAGACAGAGAGGGGAAGAAGAGAGACAGAGAGAAAGAGACAGAAAGACAGAGACAGAGGGAGAUGGACAGAGAGAGGGAGAAGAGGGAGAGACAGAAACAGAGAGAAAUAAAGGGAGACAGACAGAGAGAGACAGAGAGACAGAGACAAAGGGAGAGAGAUAGGGAGAAACAGAGAGACAGACAGAGGGAGACACAGAGAGACAGAGACAGAGAGAGACAAAGGGAGACAGAGAGACAGAGAGAGGGGGAGAAGAGAGAGAAACAGAGACAGAGGGAGACAGAGACAGAGAAACAGAGAGAUAAAGGGAGACAAAGAGACAGAGAGAGAAAAAGAGAGGCAGAGAGACAGAAUCAUGUAGUAUGUAACCUUUUGGGAUUGGUUCUCCUGACUUUGGAUAAUGGCCUUGGGAUCCAGCCAAGCUGUUGUGUAUGUCAAUAAAUCAUUCCUUCUUA
rnacentral:lncRNA from 1 species